rnacentral:rRNA from 1 species
AACGAACGCUGGCGGCAGGCUUAACACAUGCAAGUCGAACGCGAAAACCCUUCGGGGUGAGUAGAGUGGCGAACGGGCGAGUAACACGUGGGCAACCUGCCCCAAGGAGCGGGACAACCCGGGGAAACUCGGGCUAAUACCGCAUGAUUCGCCGGCACUCAAGUGCCGGCGGCAAGUGGUAGCUUCGGCCUCCGCCUUGGGAUGGGCCCGCGGCGCAUUAGCUUGUUGGUGAGGUAACGGCUCACCAAGGCGACGAUGCGUAGCUGGUCUGAGAGGACGAUCAGCCACACUGGGACUGAGACACGGCCCAGACUCCUACGGGAGGCAGCAGUGGGGAAUCUUGCGCAAUGGGCGGAAGCCUGACGCAGCAACGCCGCGCGUGGGAAGACGGCCCUCGGGUUGUAAACCACUUUCAGGGGGGACGAAGCUUCCAGGGUUAAUAGCCCAUGGGGUGACGGUACCCCCAGAAGAAGCCCCGGCUAACUACGUGCCAGCAGCCGCGGUAAUAC